rnacentral:rRNA from 1 species
ACGUAGGGACCAAGCGUUGUUCGGAUUUACUGGGCGUAAAGGGCGCGUAGGCGGCAAUUCAAGUCAGCUGUGAAAUCUCCGGGCUUAACUCGGAACGGUCAGCUGAUACUGCUUUGCUAGAGUACAGAAGGGGCAAUCGGAAUUCUUGGUGUAGCGGUGAAAUGCGUAGAUAUCGGGAGGAACACCAGUAGCGAAGGCGGCACUCUGGGCCGGUACUGACGCUGAGGAGCGAAAGCGUGGGGAGCAAACAGGA